UCAUAUUUUUCUCUCUCUUCUAUUUUGUGGUAUGUUUGGAUAGAGCUCCACCAAUUUCGGUGUUUUGCGGUCUGAGGAUUUUUGUUGUUCUUCUAGCUUUAUAGUUGUCAUUGGUUGUUGAGAGCGGAUUUGCUCUUGUAGCAGUGUUGUGUUCUAUUCUAAGCUCCGGAGAAUAAGCUCCGUUGCAGCUGGUUUUUGUUUUAUUUUAGCGUUGGUGCUCUCUAACUGGGUGCUGUGGUGAUGUGGCAAGUUCUACUCAGCGGUGCUUCUCUCUUCUUCGUUUUUUUCCCGUACUGUUGCAGAGCUUUGCACUUAGGCAGAAUUUGUGAGUUUUUUCUUUUUCCAUACGAUUGAGGGUGCGGCGAUUGUAUUUGACACUGCACCUUGUUGCUAUUUUUAUCUUUUUUUUUUUUUGGCGGACGGCAAGCUCGGUUCGGCGCUAUGGUGCUGCUUCAUUCCUGGUUCUUACAACAACACGUGAUUAGGUGUGCGUAUUAUUCCUGAGCCUCGGACAUCACAGUUGCAGGACUAGACUUCUCUUUCCCUCCGGUUGGAUUUGGACUGCGGCCUCCUACAGCUUCUCGUUUUGGACUUGCAACUGGAAGCUUGAAUUGUUGUAGGGCUAUUCGUGGUUGAUUGCCUCGCUGAAUUUUUUUUGGAGAUCUUAAUUAUUCGAUGAGCAAAGUAGAGGGUACUGGCUGAAUUUACGAUGGCGCUAGUGCAAGAGUCGGUAUUGUGGCGCAGAAGCUUAUAUUGAUUCCAGGGGACUUCUGAUAUGGAUCGGAGAGCGGCCAAGGAGUUUGUGUUGGUUCAUUCUAUUAUGAGCUCAACAAGAGUUCUUGUCCUUAUGCGUAGAUUGCUUCGAUUGGCGAUGCGUCGCAUUUGAUCGAAGUUCUUUGAGUAGAAAUCCGUUGAAGUAGCAUCAGCGUUCGUAUUUAAAUUCAACUUCAUUGGAGUUUUGGUUGCUUGUUUAGUUCACCGAAGGAGUGCGUUUUUGGCGCUUGAAGUGGUAUUUAUCAUUGUGGUAGGCUUCGUUGAAGGAUCCACUUGGCUGUCAUCAUUGAUUUUUGUAUAGUGGAAACUUGAUAGAUUCACAUUGUGUUCAAGGUGACGGAGGCGUGAUUAUCUGGCUGAUUAUCAUUGCUUUGAGGUCUACUGUCAUUAGAGUUUUUGGAGUCGCAAGAGUGAUCAGAGCCACAUGGACAGCAGAACUGUGGAUCGAGUAAAGAAUUGUUUUAUUGCUCAUAUGUACGGUAGAUGCUUGCAAUUGAAGGCUCCUGGGACUUGACGUGGUUACGUCCAGUCAAGUAGAAUUGAUACAAGUUGUCAUCUAGGGUUGGUCCCACUAGGGCAAGAAAUUCACCAACUCUUGGAAGAUUUCUUCUCAGUGAUCACUCAUUGAUCACUGCGACAAUUAGCAAAGCAUAACACAUUUGAAUGGGAAAACAUCCACGAUCAGACAUCCAUAGCUUCCAAUAGCUUGAAGGUUGAGCAAUGUCAUCUAUUUAAGUGCCUGAAUAGCUGAAUCUCUCAGCAACCGCAAGGAGGUUAAACGACUUGCCACCGAUCCGUAGUCUAGAUCCACAGAUUAGAGUUUGUUAAUUGAACCUAAGAGGCCUUGCUGCGGUUCGAGAGUGGGGUGCUAGGAGCCUAGCGGGGAUCAGAAGUCGUUGUGGAGGAGAAAAUCUUGAGGAUUACAGCAGUCAUUGCCGUGGAGCGGGAAAACCCGUUGCAAGCCACAUCACCUUCCUCUCAAUAAGAGUUUCAAGGAAGCUUAGUAAGGAGGAUGAAUUAGGAUCAGGGUUGAAUUAUGAUAGUUGAAUGAAAUUUUUAAUUGAAUGAUAAAUUAUGGAUGAGAAUUAAUUGAAUUUGGAUGAUUUCUCAUUCAAGGAUGAAAAUUCAUUCAUGAAUGAAAAAUUGUUAUAGAUGAAGGUUUAAAUUUG